AGCGAACGCUGGCGGCAGGCUUAACACAUGCAAGUCGAACGGGCACCUUCGGGUGUCAGUGGCAGACGGGUGAGUAACACGUGGGAACGUGCCCUUUGGUUCGGAACAACUCCGGGAAACUGGAGCUAAUACCGGAUAAGCCCUUCGGGGAAAGAUUUAUCGCUAAAGGAUCGGCCCGCGUCUGAUUAGCUAGUUGGUGAGGUAAUGGCUCACCAAGGCGACGAUCAGUAGCUGGUCNGAGAGGAUGAUCAGCCACACUGGGACUGAGACACGGCCCAGACUCCUACGGGAGGCAGCAGUGGGGAAUAUUGGACAAUGGGCGAAAGCCUGAUCCAGCCAUGCCGCGUGAGUGAUGAAGGCCUUAGGGUUGUAAAGCUCUUUCGGCGGGGACGAUAAUGACGGUACCCGCAGAAGAAGCCCCGGCUAACUUCGUGCCAGCAGCCGCCGUAAG
rnacentral:rRNA from 1 species